ACUGGUCUUCUGUCGAGGGUUUACGAAUCACUGUGUCCCCUGCUAGAACGUUCAAGCAAGCUCUCAAGGUCAUUUGUAGGAGAACGUACGGCAGGCAAGUUUCCAAAUGAGGCACUGCACAUGGCAGUCUGCCUUUCUUU
rnacentral:snRNA from 1 species